rnacentral:rRNA from 1 species
UACGAGGGGGGCGAGCGUUGUUCGGAAUUAUUGGGCGUAAAGGGUGCGUAGGCGGUCUGGUAAGUCUUGUGUGAAAUCUUCGGGCUCAACUCGAAGUCUGCACGAGAAACUGCCGGGCUUGAGUAUGGGAGAGGUGAGUGGAAUUUCCGGUGUAGCGGUGAAAUGCGUAGAUAUCGGAAGGAACACCUGUGGCGAAAGCGGCUCACUGGACCAUAACUGACGCUGAUGCACGAAAGCUAGGGGAGCAAACAGGAUUAGAUACCCUCGUAGUCC